GUUACUCAUCCGCCGCCUCCCCACCCCGUCGCCGCCCAUCCAUCCCGCCGGCGGCCAGAGGACCGAGCAGCUGCCUGCCCCCACCUCAUCUCCGGCUUUUUUUUCCCGCGGAACCCUACGCGCCGCCGCCCCCCCCGUCAUCCAAGCCUGCUACCGCGCGCCCCUUUUUCCUCGCCUGUGCCAAGCCCGCGCCCUCGCGCGCGCCUCCUCCUCGCCGCCUGCCACGCCGACACCCUGCUCCCCUCCUCCUCCUCAGCGGAGGCCCGCGCGCCGCCAUUGCCUGCCUGCGCGCUCGUACACCUCACGCCGCGGCUGCCGAUCGCCUCCGCCGCCGCCGCGUUUGAUGUCAACAAGGCUCCUGCCCCGCAUCACCCCGCUCCCGCGCCGCCGCCCCAACCCGAACUACCCGCCCGUCACCCCGGCCCUUGCGGCCUCGCUCGCGCGAGUCCUCGCCGUCGGGCACCCGCUGUUCCGUGUGCCAGCGAUUGUGCAGCGUCAUCGUCGAAGGGCAGGGUUUCUAAAAUUUUCCAUUCCAUCCCCAAGAUCUCAUUUUCACUGGCUGCUCUGUAAAAAUCAUCCCAAUUGUAGUUCAUAGGCAGAGGUUAGGCUGGCAUCGGCAGAUGUAUUCCAGCACAUGACACAAUUGAUGAGUAAUCCCCUCCAGAGAUGCUAGCCAUUAUCCUUGUUUGACUGGAGAGUUUGAUGUAAUCUGGAAGGUGUGACCCAUUAUCUCUCAGGUGGUCCUUUCCAUCAACUUGGCAAAUAAUAUUUCUCCAUGAAGUGUAGUCUAUGCACAGCUCAUUCCUGCUUCUGCUGGUACUGUCAAUGUAAGGAGGGGAUCGGCUUCCCUCGUCUAUGCACCGGGCAGUCCCAGGGUUCCUGCGGCGAGCCCAUGCAAUCAGGAGCUACCCCCCAGUGCUGCGUCUUUCCUCUCAGGCUUGUUGCUUGAACAGCUCAGAUAAUGAGGAGCCCGGACGGAAUUCUGCUUACAUUGACUAUAGAAGCCAGUGUCUCCUUCCCUCCAUCACGCUAGCAGUGCGGACUGCGAACUGGGAUGCUGCCAGAAAUAUAAGCUUCAGGGAGUGUGUGAGGUUAUACGGGCUAUCUCAAUCAAUUGGUUUGUUUGCAUUGCUUGUGCAGCUGUUCUUACCGUGGAGAAUCAGAGAGAUCCGGUGCUUGAUUCAGAGCAUUGUUGAUUACUGUGAAAAUGCUGGCCAGGAGUUGUUUGAGUUGGCUCCUAUUUUGGUCAGCAGAUUGGGUGGGUCAAUGACGUUGUUGCAAGUUUAUGCUGCAGUUAUCCGGAUUUUUGUAGAGUUGUCAAUGUUUGAGGACGCUCUUCUCACUUACAUUGAGGCCAGGAAGGUUGGUGCUGAGCUGCGUUUGUGCAACUUCUUGCUGAAGUGUUUAGUCAAGGGGAAUCAGAUUGUGUAUGCAAGGAGUUUAUUUGAUGACAUGAAGAGCUCUGGUCCUUCACCAAAUGUCUACUCUUAUUCAGUUUUGAUGAGUAUGUAUACACAUGGAGAGAGGUUGUGCUUAGAGGAAGCUUUUGAGCUUCUUCGUGAAAUGGAAAUGAAUGGUGUGAGACCGAAUGCUGCAACCUAUGGAACUUACCUCUAUGGGCUUUGCCGUUCCAGACAGUUAACGUCUGCAUGGGACUUUCUUCAAAAUCUUUGUCAGAGAGGGUGCCCUUGCAACACUUAUUGUUUUAAUGCAGUGAUUCAUGGUUUCUGUAGUGAGGGUCAGGUCCACAAAGCCAUAGAAGUGUUUAAUGGGAUGAAGAAAUGUGGGUUUCUCCCAGAUGUCCACAGCUAUAGCAUAUUAGUUGAUGGGUUAUGCAAACAAGGGGAACUAUUGAAAGGUUAUGACAUGCUUGAUGAAAUGGCAAGAAAUGGAAUCAGUCCUAACCAUGUAAGUUAUAGUUCACUUUUGCAUGGUCUUUGCAAGACUGGAAAUGUUGAAUUUGCGUUUGAGAUUUUCAAGAGGCUUAAAGACCAAGGUUUCAAGCAUGACCAGAUAAUGUACAGCAUCCUUUUCCAUGGCUGCUGCCAACAUUUACAUCUAGAUAUUGUCAAUGGCCUUUGGGAUGACAUGAUUCAUCAUGAUUUUGUUCUAGAUGUUUAUGAUUAUACCAAUCGGAUCUAUGCAUUAUGUAGACAUCGAUGCCUUAUAGAAGCAUUGGAAGUAUUUGAACUCAUGCUUGAGAAUGGGAUAACUCCCAACAUUGUGACAUGCACCAUCCUUGUUGACAGCUUUAGCAAAGAAGGGCUGAUUGGUGAGGCCUUCCUAUUCCUGGAUAAAGUACAUCAGUCAUUGGCAAUUGCCCCCAAUCUUUACACAUACAAAGCUAUUAUCAACGGCCUUUGUAAGAUCAACAAAUCGAAUGACGUGUGGGAACUUUUUGCAGACAUGAUAAAAAGGGGAUACGUUCCUGAUGCUAUCCUCUACAGUAUUAUUAUUGAUGGUUUUGUGAAAGCUUUGGAGUUGCAGGAGGCUUUCAGGCUGUAUCAUAAAAUGUUGGAUGAAGGGAUAAAACCUACUAUUUUUACAUAUACUAGCCUCCUAAAUGGGCUGUGCCAUGAUGAUGGACUUCCUAGAUUUAGGAAAUUGAUGAGGGAUAUGAUUGGGGAGGACCUGGUACUUGACAAGAUUUUGUGCACAUCUAUUAUUGCGCACUAUUGUAGAUGUUCAAAUAUGAAGGCCGCCAUGGAAAUGUACAAAAAAAUGGAAAGCUCCGGUUUAUCACCAGAUGCUUUUGUAUAUACUUGCCUAAUUAGUGGCUUCAGUAAAGUUCGUGCAAUGGAUGGUGCACUUUUGAUGAUGGAAGAAAUGGAAAAAAGGAAUAUUAAGCCUACUGUAGUAACCUAUACAGCUCUCAUCGUUGGAUACCUUAAAACAGGGGAUGAGAAACAAGCUAAAAAGAUGUACAGAAGUAUGUGUGAGGCAAGCAUUGAUCCGGAUGACAAGCUGAGUUGUAUAUUGGGCGUUGGCAAUGACGGGGGUGACUGAUUUUUAUUCUCGGAAAGAAAAGGAUGCAACAUAGAUUUUCAGAUGGACCUCUAUUAACUUGACCAAGGGACGGCUCUGUGAUGGUGAUGAGCUCACCUAGUGUUGAACAAUAUUGGCUGCAUUUGUUUCCUCAGCUUCCGGACUGCAUCAGAUGAACGAGGAAUAGAAAGAAGUAACCUGAAAGUGGCAGUUUAAUCCUUGGACAACACCUGGAGGGUGUUAUCAUUACAGGUCUGACGAAGGGAGCGGAUCAUUGAGGUGGGUGUUCUCGUUGAGGGAGCUUCGAUUGGCAACAAACAUCUUCAAUUAUGAUAACAAGAUUUGAGAAGGGCCUCUUGGGAGUGUGUAUUGGGGACAAGUUUGGGAUGGCUCUCAGAUUGCUGUCAAGAGGUUAAAGAAUACAAAGAAUGGCACAUAAGUGGAAUUUGCUUCAGAAGUCAAGAUCUUGGGAAGAAUAAGACACAUAAACCUCCUGAGUUUCCGUGGAUAUUGUGCGGAUGGACCUGAACGCAUGCUGGUGUAUGACUAUAUGGCAAACUCAGCGGAGUGUCUCCUUGAUUGGCGGAGGAGAGCAUCUAUUGCCAUCGGUGCUGCUCGGGCUCUCUUGUAUCUUCAUGAACAUGCAACACCUCAGAUAAUCUAUGGGAGCAUCAAGGUCACCAAUGUGUUGCUGGAUUCAGACUUCCAGGCACAUGUUCAACGACAAUAUCCAACCUGCUAUGAUUAUUGGUGUUGGUAUAUAUAUGGUCUGAAUCCUGGUUGAUUAUGGAUGCGGUAAUUUAGAGGGUAUAUGCCUGCUAAUUUUUUAAAACAUGAAACUACGAGACUGCUUAUUUAUGGAGAGACAGUGUCCAUGUGAUCCAGUUCAGUAUUAGAUAUAACUUAAGUAAUUUGGUCAAAUGAAAUUUAGCAAUGGACAAGCCCCGAGGGGGUGUUCAUUUUUUAUUCUACGUAUACACAUGAAAUGUUUCUAUGUUAUGAUUAAGACAUAUACUAUAUGCUUAGUAUUUUAGACAUCCAGAAAUAACGUUUACUAAUUAUGCCUCCGUGGAUAUUUUUAUAUGCACCAAGUUAAAGUAAAAUCUAGAAACUUGAAAGAUUUCCACGAUACCGGGAGAAUGUCUGUUUACACGAUUCUAUUAUAACAUUAUAACCUAGAUUACCUCCUUACUGUUGUUUAGUUUCAGCUUAAAUAACAUUGGCUAGGUCAUUACAUUUUGUUUCUGGUAAGCUAGUGACCGAUUUUGUAGAUGCACACAUGGUCGGAAUCCAUUUACACUUUGUUUCUGGUAAACUGGUGACCAAUUUUGUAGAUGCACACUUGGUCGGAAUCCAUGUUGCUUGCUGUUGACAUAUAAUUUGAAAUGUUCUCUUUGUCUGUCCCAGGUGUGAUUGAUCAAAUGUCAAAGCAAGUAUCUUAUGUACAGAAGUUCUAUGGAGAGAAGUUCAAUAGCCCAUUGGAGAUCAGGCAUCUCCCAUUAUUUAUUUGAUAAAAGAGUAAGCUUUAUUUUGUAAAUAGAAAAUGCAAUGGAAAGGCCAUGUAAUGUGAUAAAUUGUGUUUGAAUCAGUUUGUUGGUCUGUGAUUUAAAUCCACCGACUGGAUUGAACACUAUAAACUGUGAGCAAAUGUUGUCUUGUUAUUGUAACUUCUAUUAUAAAUAUUAUCUGUUGUAUUUAUGAGUAUGCUAUUCGGUUAUGUUAUGCGUUCUCUAUUGUUUUACA